rnacentral:rRNA from 1 species
AUUGAACGCUGGCGGCAGGCUUAACACAUGCAAGUCGAGCGAGCGGCGGACGGGUGAGUCAUGUCUGGGACUCUGCCUGCUGGAUGGGGAUAACUACUGGAAACUGUAGCUAAUACCGCAUACCAUCAGAUUCUCCCAGAUGGGAUUAGCUAGUGGGUGGGGUAAUGGCUCCCCUAGGCGACGAUCCCUAGCUGGUCUGAGAGGAUGACCAGCCACACUGGGACUGAGACACGGUCCAGACUCCUACGGGAGGCAGCAGUGGGGAAUAUUGCGCAAUGGGCGCAAGCCUGAUGCAGCCAUGCCGCGUGAGUGAAGAAGGCCUUCGGGUUGUAAAGCACUUUCAGCGAGGAGGCGUUACUCGCAGAAGAAGCACCGGCUAACUCCGUGCCAGCAGCCGCGGUAAUAC